rnacentral:ncRNA from 1 species
GCGGUACCGGUUCACGCUUCCCACAUCUUCCACGGGUCCGCCCAUGGGCGUGCGGAGGCGCCCGGCGACC